rnacentral:rRNA from 1 species
AGCGAACGCUGGCGGCAGGCCUAACACAUGCAAGUCGAGCGCCCGUAGCAAUACGGGAGCGGCAGACGGGUGAGUAACACGUGGGAACGUACCCUUCGGUUCGGAAUAACCCAGGGAAACUUGGAUUAAUACCGGAUACGUCCGUAAGGAGAAAGAUUUAUCGCCGAAGGAUCGGCCCGCGUCCGAUUAGCUAGUUGGUGGGGUAAUGGCCCACCAAGGCUACGAUCGGUAGCUGGUCUGAGAGGAUGAUCAGCCACACUGGGACUGAGACACGGCCCAGACUCCUACGGGAGGCAGCAGUGGGGAAUAUUGGACAAUGGGCGCAAGCCUGAUCCAGCCAUGCCGCGUGAGUGAUGAAGGCCCUAGGGUUGUAAAGCUCUUUCGGCGGGGAAGAUAAUGACGGUACCCGCAGAAGAAGCCCCGGCUAACUUCGUGCCAGCCGCCGCAGUAAC